GGAGUUUGCAGCAGAGGGAUGCGAUUCUGAUGAUGGAAAAUGGACAACUCCAUCAACAAUUAUCGAUGUCAUUGGAAGGCUGUCACCGGCGAUGGUAGUCAGCAAGUUGCAGUGUUCAUCACUCUGCUUCCCUGGAGACCCAUCCGAAGGUUUGUCCAACUCAAUUGAAAUUACCUAUUGAGGUAUAGAAUCUGCGUAGCACAGAAUAAUGAUGACAUGGGGUCUAUUGAGAGUUAGCAAACCCUUAUCGUCAUAAACCACGAAAAAGUAGUGAGAGACAGUAAUGGAAGGAACACCUAGGAUUCAAAGUGGUUUACUCCACUGCAAGAGAUAUGUCUACUCACUGUUAUGAACUUGACAUCAAUCAUAAUUGGCUUCCACAUGGCAAGAUCAAUCAUAUAUCUAGGGUUCUCAAGCAUGUGAAGGUCUACGAUUUUUCUUUUGCAUGCUUCAACCACUAUGUGUAAGUUUCAUUGCAUUUGAUUUAUUAUUUAACGAGUUUGAUCUCACUGUUCUAGGACUCAUCAUUCUAAUUAUGCAAGGUUCAUCUUCAUCAAGAAAAAAUCCAAUCUCACAUAGUCUUCUUUACUAAGGCUACUUUUGAAUCAGGUUUCUCACUUAGAGUGCAGCUAUGGAGAGGUAUGGAAAGCCUGUAACGGCAGCCGUGCGCAGAGCUCGAGAGGCAACUGGAAGGGAGAAAGGGGGGAGAACUUCGGUAUGUUCUAUGGGCCAACGUGAUGUUGAAUGUGACUCCAGACUUAUGACUCAAACCCUAGUACUGGGCCAGGCCAGUAAUCAUGGCAUUGCACUUGACAUCCACUUCUUGCUAACGUGUGCACGUUGACUAUAAUAUUAUGUAGAUGAGGGAGAUUCCCAAAUUGGACGGACCGUUGACUCUAAAACCUUGAGAAUAUUUUUGACUGACAAAAUCGCCAUUUUAAAAGUUAUUCAACAGUUAAAAUAUUUUUAAAAGCAUUGAUUGAUGUUCAUAGGAAUAUACCAUAACAAUCGAUCAAAAUUAGUCAAACUUGGCCAAUGAUAAUAUCUAGAGACAUAAUUUGGUAGCAGCCUUGAUUCCCAUAGGAAAAAAGGUUAGUUUGGUUCAAGAGAUGCAAGUAUACAAGAGAACACGCAGAAGGGGCCAUGAUUUAGAGGGGACCCCUAACUUUCUUCA
rnacentral:lncRNA from 1 species